rnacentral:rRNA from 1 species
GAUCAUGGCUCAGGAUGAACGCUGGCGGCGUGCUUAACACAUGCAAGUCGAACGGGAAAUAUUUCAUUGAGACUUCGGUGGAUUUGAUCUGUUUCUAGUGGCGGACGGGUGAGUAACGCGUGGGUAACCUGCCUUAUACAGGGGGAUAACAGUCAGAAAUGGCUGCUAAUACCGCAUAAGCGCACAGAGCUGCAUGGCUCAGUGUGAAAAACUCCGGUGGUAUAAGGUGGACCCG